AAAACAGUUAUAGUUUAGUUGAUGGUCCCUUACUAAUUGGAUAACCGUAGUAAUUCUAGAGCUAAUACAUGCAUAAAGGGCUGACUCACGAACGCCUGUGUUUAUUAGAUAAAACCAAUUGCCCUCUGGGUAUUAGGUGAUUCAUAGUAACUUCUCGGAUCGGAUGUCUUCGCGACGCCGACAGAUCAUUCAAAUUUCUGCCCUAUCAGCUUUCGAUGGUACGGUAGUGGCCUACCAUGGCGGUGACGGGUGACGGAGAAUUAGGGUUCGAUUCCGGAGAGGGAGCCUGAGAAACGGCUACCACAUCUAAGGAAGGCAGCAGGCGCGUAAAUUACCCAAUCCUGACGCAGGGAGGUAGUGACAAGAAAUAUCAAAAGAUUGAACACAGUUCUGUCUUAUUGGAAUGAGUACAUUCUAAACCCCUUAACGAGAACCAAUUGGAGGGCAAGUCUGGUGCCAGCAGCCGCGGUAAUUCCAGCUCCAAUAGCGUAUACUAAAGUUGUUGCAGUUAAAAAGCUCGUAGUUGGAUUUCUGUGCAGCGGUUGUUGGGCUACGCUUAUGGCGUGGUCCCUUCACCGCUGUACAUCCUGUUGGCAGACACGUACUGGCAUUAAUUUGUCGGUGCGGGGAGACCCUCGUUUACUUUGAGAAAAUUAAAGUGUUCAAAGCAGGCGCUCGUUUGAAUACAUUAGCAUGGAAUAAUAGUAUAGGACUUUGAUCUUAUUUGUUGGUUUUAAAGAUCAAAAUAAUGAUUGAUAGGGACAGUUGGGGGCAUCAGUAUUUGAAGCGAGAGGUGAAAUUCCUGGACCUUCGGAAGACUAACAACUGCGAAAGCAUUUGCCAAGGAUGUUCUCUUUAAUCAAGAACGAAAGUUAGGGGAUCGAAGACGAUCAGAUACCGUCGUAGUCUUAACUAUAAACUAUGCCAGCUAGGGAUCGGUGAACGUUGUUUCGACUUCAUCAGCCCUUAUGAGAAAUCAAAGCAUUUGGGUUCCGGGGGGAGUAUGGUCGCAAGGCUGAAACUUAAAGGAAUUGACGGGAGGGCACCCCAGGAGUGGAGCCUGUGGCUUAAUUUGACUCAACACGGGAAAA
rnacentral:rRNA from 1 species